rnacentral:sRNA from 1 species
CUUUAACAAUCCGGAACAAGCUGAAAAUUGAAACGACAUGUCGUUUUCAUUCUCCGUAAUAAGAAUGAAAUCAUACGAUAUGUUCGAGUCUCUCAAAUGCUUACAACAGCAUGUGUCUUUCGGGACGCUUGUG